AUCCUCUCAGUCACGAGGCCAGACAAGUACAAAACUGGCUCCUGCCACAUGGAAGGAAACUUGCUCUCCCCAGGAAGGGUCUGGAAGGGUCAUUUAGAGCCUUAGCUCCAACAACAAGCUGACUUAGCAAAAGGAAGCAAUGCCAACAUUGAAACUAACCACCCAGAAAGAUGAAUGAGUAUCAACCAAAAACACGUUAGCAAAAAUUUCAGGAACAGCAUUAAAAAGGAGAAGAGCCAAAGAGGAAGAGAUCCUGGAGCUCCCAUGAAGACGCAGUGAGAAAACCGCAGUCUGCAAGCCAGGGAGAGGGCCCUGCCCAGCGAUCAAAUUGGCCGGCACCCAGAUAGAUGCUGGACUACCCAGCCUCCAGGACCGUGAGAAAAUAAACUUCGGUUGUUUAAGCCACCCAUCAGCCUAUGGUAUUUUGUUACGGGCUCUGGAGCUGACUAAUGCCGUGGAA